rnacentral:rRNA from 1 species
AUUAAUAAUUUUAUUUUUUAGGUUAAUAAAAAGAAUUUGGGUUUUUAAUAAUAAUAUAAAAAAAAUAUAUUUAUGAUAGUUAAAUAGUAUUGUGAAAGAAUUUUUAUAAAUUUUUUAAAGUAAAUUUAAUUUAUUGUACCUUGUGUAUCAGGGCUUAUUUAAUUUAUAUUAAGUAUUUAAUAAUCUCGAUUUUAUAAGAGUUAAUAAAAUAUGUUUUUAUUGUUAAAUAAAUAUUAUAAAUAUUUUAUUAGUAAUGAAAUGUUAUUCGUUUAUAAAUAUAUCUAGUUUUUAAAGAAAAAAAUUUAAUUUUGUGUUUAAGUAUAAUUAAUUGAAUUUUAAAUUAGUUAUUAUUUAAAUAAAAAUAUUUUUUAGGAUAAGCUAAAAAAUAAAAAUUUAUAAAUUAAUAAUUUAUAAAUAAUGUAUAGAAUUAGAAGUAUUCAUUUUUAAUAUGUUAUAAUUAAUUAUAUUGAUUUAUAAUUUAUAUAAAAUUUCAAUUUAUUUAUUUAAAGAAUUUAUUUAAUUUUAAAAUAAAUGUAAUAAUGAUAAAAUUAGUAUAAUAAAUUGUAUGAGAUUUUUAUAUAAAAAAGUUUAAAUAAAGGAAUUCGGCAAAAUUAUUUCUCGCCUGUUUAAUAAAAACAUGUCUUUUUGAAUAUAAUUUAAAGUCUAAUCUGCCCACUGAAUUUUAAAUGGCCGCAGUAUUUUGACUGUGCAAAGGUAGCAUAAUAAUUAGUUUUUUAAUUAAAAGCUAGAAUGAAUGAUUGGACGAGGGAAUAACUGUCUCUAUUUAAUUUUUAUUAGAAUUUAAUUUUUAAGUUAAAAAGCUUAAAUAUUAUUAAAAGACGAGAAGACCCUAUAGAGUUUAAUAUUUAUUAUCUAUAAAAAAAAAUUGAAUUAGCAUUUUUUAUGUAUAUAUUAAUAUUUUAUUGGGGUGAUAGAAAAAAUUAUUUAACUUUUUUUAUAUUUAAACAUAAAUUAAUGAGUAUUUGAUCCAUAUUAAUGAUUAUAAGAUUAAAUUACCUUAGGGAUAACAGCGUAAUUUCUUUAAAGAGUUCAAAUCGAAAAGGAAGAUUGCGACCUCGAUGUUGGAUUAAAAUUAAGUUUUGGUGUAGAAGCUAAGAUUUUAGGUCUGUUCGACCUUUAAAAUUUUACAUGAUCUGAGUUUAAACCGGCGUGAGCCAGGUUGGUUUCUAUCUUUAAUAAAUAUUUAUAUUUUAGUACGAAAGGACCAAGUAUAAGUAAAAUUUAUUUUUUAAGAAUAUUAUU